rnacentral:rRNA from 1 species
GGGGGAGGCGAGAGCACCCUUUGAUCCCGUGAUUUCCGAAUGGGGAAACCCACCUUAGAUACUUGGAAAUUCAAACAAGCCGUACGGCUUGACCAUUCAUGCCCUCGGGCCUGUUUGGUUUCCAAGUAUCGAGACAAGGUAUCUUAUCCUGAAUACAUAGGGAUAAGAAGGGAACGCGGGGAACUGAAACAUCUAAGUACCCGUAGGAAAGGACAUCAACCGAGACUCCGUCAGUAGCGGCGAGCGAACGCGGACCAGGCCAGUGGCGAUUGGGAGACAAGCGGAACAUUCUGGAAAGGAUGGCCAUAGUGGGUGACAGCCCCGUACGCGUAAUGCAACCAAUCGUCCUCGAGUAAGGCGGGACACGUGAAAUCCUGUCUGAACGUGGGG